UACAGAGGGGGCAAGCGUUGUUCGGAAUUACUGGGCGUAAAGGGCGCGUAGGCGGCCAACUAAGUCAUACGUGAAAUCCCUCGGCUUAACCGGGGAACUGCGUCUGAUACUGGAUGGCUUGAGUUCGGGAGAGGGAUGCGGAAUUCCAGGUGUAGCGGUGAAAUGCGUAGAUAUCUGGAGGAACACCGGUGGCGAAGGCGGCAUCCUGGACCGAUACUGACGCUGAGGAGCGAAAGCCAGGGGAGCAAACGGG
rnacentral:rRNA from 1 species